CCUACGGGGGGCAGCAGUGGGGAAUAUUGGACAAUGGGCGAAAGCCUGAUCCAGCCAUGCCGCGUGUGUGAAGAAGGCCUUCGGGUUGUAAAGCACUUUCAGUGGGGAAGAAAGCCUUGGGGCUAAUACCCUCGAGGAAGGACAUCACCCACAGAAGAAGCACCGGCUAACUCCGUGCCAACAGCCGCGGUAAUACGGAGGGUGCGAGCGUUAAUCGGAAUUACUGGGCGUAAAGCGCGCGUAGGCGGUCUGAUAAGCCGGUUGUGAAAGCCCCGGGCUCAACCUGGGAACGGCAUCCGGAACUGUCAGGCUAGAGUGCAGGAGAGGAAGGUAGAAUUCCCGGUGUAGCGGUGAAAUGCGUAGAGAUCGGGAGGAAUACCAGUGGCGAAGGCGGCCUUCUGGACUGACACUGACGCUGAGGUGCGAAAGCGUGGGUAGCAAACAGGAUUAGAUACCCGAGUAGUC
rnacentral:rRNA from 1 species